GGAGGAGAGGAAAUGGGGGCAAGGUGCUACAGACUGGCCCCAGCCUCUCCCAGGCCCCUUGCCUGCCACCCCCAGCCAUGCGGCUUCUCCUGUGGCCUGCUCUGGCUGGAAUCCACUCUGCUCGCCACCCCCCGUUCCCUGGGUAGGGAUCCCUCACCCGUGCGCAUGGUGGAAAAGAAGAGCAGCCAGAAGAGGCAGAGGAUGGGCGCGGCCACCACCUGGUUCACAGCCCCCGAGUGGAUCUUCUUGUCCAGCUUGGCCGGCAGGUUGUUCUGGUCCUGAGAGUGCUGAAGGGUUGGCCCCCUCCUCCUGCCCGGGCCCCAGGACGGGAUAGUGCCCCGUGCCCCAGCGUGAUCACAGAACUUCAGCUUCCUCCGCUACAACCCCUCAUUCUACUCUCCUCAUCAGGAAUUCUACUAUUGGAAAUCUAGUCAUUUGAAUCAACAAGCAUCUUCUUAAAACCCGUAUCAUUUUUCUCUAACCCUGUCCCUAAACAGAUACGUAUAAAUUAAGGGACAAGUUCUAUUUCCCCAGAGGCUGAGGGAUAGGGAGUUUCUAAUGAGGACAAGGAAGUUAGUUUGGGAACUUGGAGCCUUCAAUAACCAGGGAGGGUUGGUUAAGGAGUUAGGAUGUUAUUAGGGAGGAAAGUAGAGGCUACCAGUGGGGGUGAUGGUUAAAGAGAAACUUUGCUAAACUUCAAAAAGGAAGAGAGACCUGGCCAAGUCACAUAGCUCAGAUACAGCAGACUAUCUCCAUGAGUGGCAAGGACCCAUCCCACCCUGGAAUCCAAGUCUUUCCUGAGUUUACAGGGUGGUGUAAAAGUGUGCACAUGGAUGCCUGUGUGGGAGUGUGUGUGUGAACAUGUCAGCACGUAUGUGAUCUGUGUCCAAGCACAUCCCGCUGAGGGAAGGCACAGGUGUGGGUAAGUAUGGCCAUGUUGGUGUGACUUUGCCCUGGGGCCCACAUGCCAGCUGGGUCUGGCCUGAGCUGAUGGCUCUCCCCCUCCUCCCCACAGGCCAGGCCCCAGACUGAGCCAGGGACCGGGCGGGAGCCCCGAGGGGCCGGUCUCCCAGCCGGGCCCUGUCCACUCGGGGUGGCCUGCAUUCCUAGAGUGGAGAGGGUGAAGUCCUGGGUCCCCCCGAGCAGGGCCCAGGUCCCGGCGCGGCGGUGCCUACCGAAGGGCACGAUGAUGGGGCAGGUGAUACUGUAGGUCAUGACCACCGUGAAGACGCACAUCAUCCAGGCGUAGGCUGCGCCAAACUGGAACUCGUAGGCCUGAUGCUGGGGGGGAGACGGGCAGGAGGAUGGCUCAGGGAGGCAGGGACUGACCAGAGGGGCAGGGAAGGAGGGAGGGGGAAGGGAGCCAGGACCUCUGGGGCCGGAAAAGAAGCCAUGGGGAACAGGACCUAAUGUCUAGGGUAGGGUAGGGCAGAGCAGAUGGAGAGAGGGGCUAUGGCCGAGAGGAGGGUCAGGGCGGUUGCAGUGAUGGGGCACGGAGAGGGGCCUUCAAGGGUCGGGGCCUGGCAGGUAGGGGGCAAGAGUUGGGUGGACUUGAGAGUGGGAUGCCCAGAGCCCUCUUAUUAAGACAGAGGGACCCUAGCGCUAGGGACCCAGAUCUCCCCAACUCCCAUCAUAGAAUGCUACUGUCAGAACUGGCAGGGGCCUUCAGGGUUACCUAUGUCCACCCAUGGCAGAAUACGAAGGCCCCAGAUAUGGGAAGGGGAUGGCCCGGAUCCACCGUGAGUCAACUGUACUCCCCAAGUCUCAGCCCUCCUGUGCCCCUCAACCCUAGCGCGAUGGCUGCUGUUUCUUGUUGGGCCACCAGGGGGCGCUGUGCGGGCCGCUGCUGCCCCAGGCGGCCGUACCCGCUUCACGUUGCGCCUCUCGGCGGCCGAGCGCGCCAGGCAGAGCCGGAUCAUGUACAUGAGCAGGCCUGGGAUGCGCAGCAGGUCCAUGGCGUUGCCGAUAAAGGCUGAGGCAAUGACGUAGUUCACGAAGAAGGCGCCGUUGUCGGGCAGGAACACACACCUGCGGGCACCAGGUGCUCCAGCACUGCACCCUUGGGGUGACCCGGUGGCCGCCCGCCCACUGCCAGAACUACAGCACCCAACACCUCCACCACCAACAUGCUUCUUCCAUGUGGACACCCCCAGCUUAGCGCCCCAAGCACCUGUGCCCUGUUCCCCCCAGAGACAUACAGAGUGGCAACAGACAGCUCCAAGAACUUGUGCCCCAUAAAGACCCAUGGAGAGAGUGCUCAAGACCACCUAAGGCUGCUAGAAUGUUCAGGGGAGAACUGUCCAGGACCCCCAAAGACAACCCAAUGAGACCCUCAAAGAACCCAAAGGCUGACAGCCCCAGGAACACCCAGAAGAUUCCCCCACUUAGACCAUAACUCGAGUUACCCCCAGAGUGUGACAUGAGCCUCAGAUACCUCCACAAACAAGCUUUGAGACCCUUCCCGCAACAUCUCUGGGGGAGCCCAGGAACCUUUAUCAGUGCCUGAGAUGCCCCAAGUGUGACUCAAAGAUCACCACAGAUGGCCUACAGCAAAACCCCUAGAGUUUGUGCCCACAGCCAUGGUGCAUGACCUUCAA
rnacentral:lncRNA from 1 species